CGAUACGUAGCCGACCUGAGAGGGUGAUCGGCCACACUGGAACUGAGACACGGUCCAGACUCCUACGGGAGGCAGCAGUAGGGAAUCUUCCGCAAUGGGCGAAAGCCUGACGGAGCAACGCCGCGUGAGUGAUGAAGGUCUUCGGAUCGUAAAACUCUGUUAUUAGGGAAGAACAAACGUGUAAGUAACUGUGCACGUCUUGACGGUACCUAAUCAGAAAGCCACGGCUAACUACGUGCCAGCAGCCGCGGUAAUACGUAGGUGGCAAGCGUUAUCCGGAAUUAUUGGGCGUAAAGCGCGCGUAGGCGGUUUUUUAAGUCUGAUGUGAAAGCCCACGGCUCAACCGUGGAGGGUCAUUGGAAACUGGAAAACUUGAGUGCAGAAGAGGAAAGUGGAAUUCCAUGUGUAGCGGUGAAAUGCGCAGAGAUAUGGAGGAACACCAGUGGCGAAGGCGACUUUCUGGUCUGUAACUG
rnacentral:rRNA from 1 species